CUUGCACAUGGGUUAGUCGAU
rnacentral:snRNA from 1 species